GGAGUGGUGGCCGAGUGGCUUAAGGUGCCCGCCUGGAAAGUGGGUGUACCCCUAAAAGGGUACCGGGGGUUCGAAUCCCCCCUGCUCCACCC
rnacentral:tRNA from 1 species